rnacentral:lncRNA from 1 species
GAAAUAUGUAGGUAAAUAUUUUUAGUUCAACUGCUCUAAACUAAAGGUGUGUUUGAUUCCAUAUGUAAUAAUAAUACUAUAUCUUAGGAAGAACGUAGGGAACACUAUGUUUGUUUGGUAUUGGGUUUUUUUUACAGAAAGAAAGAUUUGUACUGUAAUUGAUAUUUGAAUCUAUGUCUGUGCAUAUUAAUAUGUUUAUUUGUAAAUUACACAUAUCACGUUUCUUAUACAUCAGUACUCACCACAUGUGCUUUAUACUUUUAUAAUCCAUACGUCAGUCACAGAAUCAUUUCAACUUUUGUUCAUUCACAUUAAUUCAAUAAUUUCUAAUUCUAACUAUAACUAUUAUUAUUUUUUCAAUCAAAUAUAUAGUUUUCACGUUUAAAUCAACACAUGUAUAUAUGUAAGUCAGUGAACCAGAUAUACGUUAAUUAUUAUGAAUUACAGUGCCAGUGAUGCGUAGCAGGUAAAAUCAAUUGUAUUGGUUAUUUUUAAAUGUAUACUUAUGUAAACUAUGGGAAGUUUAAACUCAUUUGAUAUUUUCCCUGGUCAAGUGAGGCUGUUAAAAAGCAGGGGUCCCUAAGUAUGCGACCUGGGCUACUUAGGUAUUUAUAUAGCAGGAAAUAAUU